rnacentral:rRNA from 1 species
CAGCCCCGUACACAAAAGCGCAUGUGUUGUGAGCUCGAUGAGUAGGGCGGGACACGUGGUAUCCUGUCUGAAUAUGGGGGGACCAUCCUCCAAGGCUAAAUACUCCUGACUGACCGAUAGUGAACCAGUACCGUGAGGGAAAGGCGAAAAGAACCCCGGCGAGGGGAGUGAAAAAGAACCUGAAACCGUGUACGUACAAGCAGUGGGAGCACCCUUCGGGGUGUGACUGCGUACCUUUUGUAUAAUGGGUCAGCGACUUAUAUUCUGUAGCAAGGUUAACCGAAUAGGGGAGCCGGAGGGAAACCGAGUCUUAAUUGGGCGUUAAGUUGCAGGGUAUAGACCCGAAACCCGGUGAUCUAGCCAUGGGCAGGUUGAAGGUUGGGUAACACUAACUGGAGGACCGAACCGACUAAUGUUGAAAAAUUAGCGGAUGACCUGUGGCUGGGGGUGAAAGGCCAAUCAAACCGGGAGAUAGCUGGUUCUCCCCGAAAGCUAUUUAGGUAGCGCCUCGUGAAUUCAUCUCCGGGGGUAGAGCACUGUUUCGGCUAGGGGGCCAUCCCGGCUUACCAACCCGAUGCAAACUGCGAAUACCGGAGAAUGUUAUCACGGGAGACACACGGCGGGUGCUAACGUCCGUCGUGAAGAGGGAAACAACCCAGACCGCCAGCUAAGGUCCCAAAGUCAUGGUUAAGUGGGAAACGAUGUGGGAAGGCCCAGACAGCCAGGAUGUUGGCUUAGAAGCAGCCAUCAUUUAAAGAAAGCGUAAUAGCUCACUGGUCGAGUCGGCCUGCGCGGAAGAUGUAACGGGGCUAAACCAUGCACCGAAGCUGCGGCAGCGACACUGUGUGUUGUUGGGUAGGGGAGCGUUCUGUAAGCCUGUGAAGGUGUGUCGUGAGGCAUGCUGGAGGUAUCAGAAGUGCGAAUGCUGACAUAAGUAACGAUAAAGCGGGUGAAAAGCCCGCUCGCCGGAAGACCAAGGGUUCCUGUCCAACGUUAAUCGGGGCAGGGUGAGUCGACCCCUAAGGCGAGGCCGAAAGGCGUAGUCGAUGGGAAACGGGUUAAUAUUCCCGUACUUGGUGUUACUGCGAAGGGGGGACGGAGAAGGCUAUGUUGGCCGGGCGACGGUUGUCCCGGUUUAAGCGUGUAGGUGUGUGUUCCAGGUAAAUCCGGUUCACUUUAACACUGAGGCGUGACGACGAGGCACUACGGUGCUGAAGCAACAAAUGCCCUGCUUCCAGGAAAAGCCUCUAAGCAUCAGGUAACAUCAAAUCGUACCCCAAACCGACACAGGUGGUCAGGUAGAGAAUACCAAGGCGCUUGAGAGAACUCGGGUGAAGGAACUAGGCAAAAUGGUGCCGUAACUUCGGGAGAAGGCACGCUGACACGUAGGUGAAGUGAUUUACUCAUGGAGCUGAAGUCAGUCGAAGAUACCAGCUGGCUGCAACUGUUUAUUAAAAACACAGCACUGUGCAAACACGAAAGUGGACGUAUACGGUGUGACGCCUGCCCGGUGCCGGAAGGUUAAUUGAUGGGGUCAGCGCAAGCGAAGCUCCUGAUCGAAGCCCCGGUAAACGGCGGCCGUAACUAUAACGGUCCUAAGGUAGCGAAAUUCCUUGUCGGGUAAGUUCCGACCUGCACGAAUGGCGUAAUGAUGGCCAGGCUGUCUCCACCCGAGACUCAGUGAAAUUGAACUCGCUGUGAAGAUGCAGUGUACCCGCGGCAAGACGGAAAGACCCCGUGAACCUUUACUAUAGCUUGACACUGAACAUUGAGCCUUGAUGUGUAGGAUAGGUGGGAGGCUUUG